rnacentral:rRNA from 1 species
AGGUUUCGGGGUUUAAACUUCCCUCCCCCUGUUGAACAUACCAAUUGUUGCCUCGGCGGAUCAGCCCGCUCCCGGUAAAACGGGACAGCCCGCCAGAGGACCCCUAAACUCUGUUUCUAUAUGUAACUUCUGAGUAAAACCAUAAAUAAAUCAAAACUUUCAACAACGGAUCUCUUGGUUCUGGCAUCGAUGAAGAACGCAGCAAAAUGCGAUAAGUAAUGUGAAUUGCAGAAUUCAGUGAAUCAUCGAAUCUUUGAACGCACAUUGCGCCCGCCAGUAUUCUGGCGGGCAUGCCUGUUCGAGCGUCAUUUCAACCCUCAAGCCCCCGGGUUUGGUGUUGGGGAUCGGCGAGCCCUUGCGGCAAGCCGGCCCCGAAAUCUAGUGGCGGUCUCGCUGCAGCUUCCAUUGCGUAGUAGUAAAACCCUCGCAACUGGUACGCGGCGCGGCCAAGCCGUUAAACCCCCAACUUCUGAAUGUUGACCUCGGAUCAGGUAGGAAUACCCGCU